rnacentral:rRNA from 1 species
CCCGCAACGAGCGCAACCCUUAUCUUUAGUUGCUAGCGGUUCGGCCGAGCACUCUAAAGAGACUGCCGUUGACAAAACGGAGGAAGGUGGGGAUGACGUCAAGUCCUCAUGGCCUUUAUGUCCAGGGCUACACACGUGCUACAAUGGCAAGUACAAAGCGCUGCAAACUCGCGAGAGGGAGCCAAUCGCAAAAAGCUUGUCUCAGUUCGGAUUGGAGCCCUAGUUCAGCGACUCCAUGAAGCUGGAAUCGCUAGUAAUCGCAGAUCAGCACGCUGCGGUGAAUACGUUCCCGGGUAAGAUCUCACCGCCCGUCACAUCACGAAAGUGGGUUGUACUGGACGCUUCAACGCCAACCGCAAGGAGGCAGACGCUCACGGUAU